AGAAUCAACGCUGGCGGCGUGCCUCAGACAUGCAAGUCGAACGCGAAAGUCCCCUUCGGGGAUAAGUAGAGUGGCGCACGGGUGAGUAACACGUAGGUAAUCUACCUUCGGGUGGGGAAUAACCCAGGGAAACUUGGGCUAACACCGCAUAAUGCAGCGGCACCACAUGGUGACAGUUGUUAAAGCGGGGGAUUUUAGGACCUCGCGCCUGAAGAGGAGCCUGCGGCAGAUUAGCUAGUUGGUAAGGUAACGGCUUACCAAGGCGACGAUCU
rnacentral:rRNA from 1 species